AUUAUCCAUGAAUAAUGAAGUGGUGACUGGCAACUGCAAUUUGCACUAGAAGAGUGUACCUGAAUGAAGCAGCUCAAGAAUAUUUAUAAACGCCAUUAAUUGAGUGCUGCUUUUUGCUGAUUUAUUAGAAGCAUGAGCCGAGGCCGCUUGUACAUUUUGCCUUCGCAGCCAGGUAUGAAGAACUUCCAUAGAUUGUGCACCCAUGUUGGAAAAUUGUAAUUGAUUCCACAACGAGGUCCAAUGCACCAAUAGGACCAUCUACCAUCCUGUAUCUGUUAUUUUCUGCAAGUCCAUCACAUUACUUGAUGCCUGUUUGUUAAUUGUUUCUU
rnacentral:misc_RNA from 1 species